rnacentral:rRNA from 1 species
GAUGAACGCUGGCGGCGUGCCUAAUACAUGCAAGUCGAGCGAACAGACGAGGAGCUUGCUCCUCUGACGUUAGCGGCGGACGGGUGAGUAACACGUGGAUAACCUACCUAUAAGACUGGGAUAACCUCGGGAAACCGGAGCUAAUACCGGAUAAUAUAUUGAACCGUAUGGUUCAAUAGUGAAAGACGGUUUUGCUGUCACUUAUAGAUGGAUCCGCGCCGCAUUAGCUAGUUGGUAAGGUAACGGCUUACCAAGGCGACGAUGCGUAGCCGACCUGAGAGGGUGAUCGGCCACACUGGAACUGAGACACGGUCCAGACUCCUACGGGAGGCAGCAGUAGGGAAGCUUCCGCGAUGGGCGGAAGCCUGACGGAGCAACGCCGCGUGAGUGAUGAAGGUCUUCGGAUCGUAAAACUCUGUUAUUAGGGAAGAACAAAUGUGUAAGUAACUAUGCACGUCUUGACGGUACCUAAUCAGAAAGCCACGGCUAACUACGU